AGUGGCGGACGGGUGAGUAACGCGUGAGAAUCUGCCCUUUGGAUGGGGAUAACGACUGGAAACGGUCGCUAAUACCCAAUAUGCCGAGAGGUGAAACUUAUAUGGCCAGAGGAUGAGCUCGCGUCUGAUUAGCUAGUUGGAGUGGUAACGGCACAUCAAGGCGACGAUCAGUAGCUGGUCUGAGAGGAUGAUCAGCCACACUGGGACUGAGACACGGCCCAGACUCCUACGGGAGGCAGCAGUGGGGAAUUUUCCGCAAUGGGCGAAAGCCUGACGGAGCAAGACCGCGUGAGGGAGGAAGGCCUACUGGUUGUAAACCUCUUUUGAUAGGGAAGAAGAAAGUGACGGUACCUAUCGAAUCAGCAUCGGCUAACUCCGUGCCAGCAGCCGCGGUAAUACGGAGGAUGCAAGCGUUAUCCGGAAUUAUUGGGCGUAAAGCGUCCGUAGGUGGUUAUUCAAGUCAGCUGUCAAAGGAUGGAGCUUAACUCCAUAAAGGCAGUUGAAACUGUGUGGCUAGAGUGCGAUAGGGGCAAGGGGAAUUCCCAGUGUAGCGGUGAAAUGCGUAGAUAUUGGGAAGAACAUCGGUGGCGAAAGCGCCUUGCUGGGUCUGCACUGACACUGAGGGACGAAAGCUAGGGGAGCGAAAGGGAUUAGAUACCCCUGUAGUCUUAGCUGUAAACGAUGGAUACUAGGCGUU
rnacentral:rRNA from 1 species